rnacentral:lncRNA from 1 species
UGCUCCUCUCUAACUAACAGGAGAAGCGGAACAUGUAGCUUUUCAUCCUUGCUUGAUCAUCCUAUCAGUCAUGGUAAUGGAUUGAGUAUCUCUCUUUCGGUAGCUGGUUUGACUGUUUGUGAUCGAACAAAACAAGAACAAGAUAUAUCGUAGUCAAGUAGAGCUAGACUGCAUGAUUGGCUUGUAGGAGAAAGAUAAGAAGGAUUCUAGCCAAGACGGAGAUGCAAGCUUGAUUUCUGUCUCUGCUAUUGGAUGUCAUAGUGUGGCACGCACUUUAUCAACUCUA